rnacentral:rRNA from 1 species
AGUUAACACUGGCGGCGUGCCUAACACAUGCAAGUCGAGCGAGCUUGUAGCAAUACAAGUUAGCAGCAAACGGGUGAGUAACACAUGGGAAACCUCCCCUCAGAAUGGGGAACAUCUCCGAGAAAUCGGAGCUAAUACCGCAUAAGACCACAGUCUGGCAUCAGACAGGGGUAAAAGCAGCAAUGCGUUUUGAGAUGGUCCUGUGUCCUAUCAGCUAGUUGGUGAGGUAACGGCUCACCCAAGGCUAAGACGGGUAUCCGGCCUGAAAGGGUGAACGGACACACUGGAACUGAGACACGGUCCAGACUCCUACGGGAGGCAGCAGUGGGGAAUUUUGGACAAUGGGGAAACCCUGAUCCAGCGACGCCGCGUGAAGGAUGAAGGCCUC